rnacentral:tRNA from 1 species
GGAUUUAUAUUCAAUAAUGAUUUUAGAUUGCAAGUCUAAAGGUGUAUAUAUUACUAAGUCCU